ensembl:miRNA Mir3065 microRNA 3065
GAGGCUGGCAGCUGCCCUCUUCAACAAAAUCACUGAUGCUGGAGUCACUGUGCACCCACUCAGCACCAGGAUAUUGUUGGGGAGGACGGCCUGGGCAGCGUCG